ACGCUGGCGGCGUGCUUAACACAUGCAAGUCGAACGAUGAUGCCCAGCUUGCUGGGUGGAUUAGUGGCGAACGGGUGAGUAACACGUGAGUAACCUGCCCCUGACUCUGGGAUAAGCGUUGGAAACGACGUCUAAUACUGGAUAUGAUCACUGGCCGCAUGGUCUGGUGGUGGAAAGAUUUUUUGGUUGGGGAUGGACUCGCGGCCUAUCAGCUUGUUGGUGAGGUAAUGGCUCACCAAGGCGACGACGGGUAGCCGGCCUGAGAGGGUGACCGGCCACACUGGGACUGAGGCACGGCCCAGACUCCUACGGGAGGCAGCAGUGGGGAAUAUUGCACAAUGGGCGAAAGCCUGAUGCAGCAACGCCGCGUGAGGGAUGACGGCCUUCGGGUUGUAAACCUCUUUUAGUAGGGAAGAAGCGAAAGUGGCGGUACCUGCAGAAAAAGCACCGGCUAACUACGUGCCAGCAGCCGCGGUAAUACGUAGGGUGCAAGCGUUGUCCGGAAUUAUUGGGCGUAAAGAGCUCGUAGGCGGUUUGUCGCGUCUGCUGUGAAAUCCCGAGGCUCAACCUCGGGCUUGCAGUGGGUACGGGCAGACUAGAGUGCGGUAGGGGAGAUUGGAAUUCCUGGUGUAGCGGUGGAAUGCGCAGAUAUCAGGAGGAACACCGAUGGCGAAGGCAGAUCUCUGGGCCGUAACUGACGCUGAGGAGCGAAAGCAUGGGGAGCGAAC
rnacentral:rRNA from 1 species